rnacentral:misc_RNA from 1 species
GAUGAAGAACGCAGCGAAAUGCGAUAAGUAAUGUGAAUUGCAGAAUUCAGUGAAUCAUCGAAUCUUUGAACGCACCUUGCACCCUUUGGCAUUCCGAAGGGUAUGCUCGUUUGAGUGUCAUUGUACUCUCACACUCUCCGAUCCUAUGGAUUCGGGGAGCGGUGGACUUGGGUGUUGCUGCCUUUCCUUGUGGCUCACCUCAAAUGUGUCAGUGCACCUCUUGGUUGGACAUAGUACGGCGUGAUAAGUGUCUUCGCCGGCGCCUCUGUAAGGAGGGUGGCCGAUCGGGAGCUCUGUGCUUCAAACCGUCUUCGGACAAUCUUUGACAACUUGACCUCAAAUCGAGUAGGACUACCCGCUGAACUUAAGCAUAUCAAUAAAGCGGAGGA